CCUCCCAGCGCGCCACCGAUUCCAGCUUCAGUGCCACCGGCAAAAACGCUGGCACUGCUCAUGCUCAGGGUCAGGAAAAUAAUUGAGGAGUACUUCAUAACUACAAUCACUCAAUGGAUGUUGAUGCCGUGAUCCUCUUGUUGUGCAAGUAACUGCGCAAGCUAAAUCCGACCAAUAACCCGAAUUUUGUAUACAUUGUAAAUAUAUGUUUUUAAUGAAGAACUUUGUUGUAUUUGCGGGUGUCAGAGACUGAUUGCUCAGGUUGGAUAAUGGCUAUUUAACGGCUGUUUUUGAGGUUGAAUUGCCAUUAUCGCGGGCUAGUUUACUAGCCUGGUCGCGUAGAUAAAAAAGCCUGAAUAAUCGCUAUUCAGGCUUUU
rnacentral:sRNA from 1 species